rnacentral:rRNA from 1 species
GACGAACGCUGGCGGCGUGCCUAAUACAUGCAAGUAGAACGCUGAAGGAGGAGCUUGCUCUUCUGGAUGAGUUGCGAACGGGUGAGUAACGCGUAGGUAACCUGCCUGGUAGCGGGGGAUAACUAUUGGAAACGAUAGCUAAUACCGCAUAAGAGUAGAUGUUGCAUGACAUUUACUUAAAAGGUGCAAUUGCAUCACUACCAGAUGGACCUGCGUUGUAUUAGCUAGUUGGUGGGGUAACGGCUUACCAAGGCGACGAUACAUAGCCGACCUGAGAGGGUGAUCGGCCACACUGGGACUGAGACACGGCCCAGACUCCUACGGGAGGCAGCAGUAGGGAAUCUUCGGCAAUGGACGGAAGUCUGACCGAGCAACGCCGCGUGAGCGAAGAAGGUUGUCGGAUCGUAAAGCUCUGUUGUAAGAGAAGAACGAGUGUGAGAGUGGAAAGUUCACACUGUGACGGUAUCUUACCAGAAAGGGACGGCUAACUACGUG